CUCCCGGAGAGUCUUUACCGUGAGUGUUGAGCCCUUGUAACAGUGCACAGCUGUCAUUCAGGAGCCGAGCCCGCCCCCAGAGUGACCUUCCUCAGCGGACACGCCCCGUCCACCUGUUCCACAGGUGCGCCCGGCAAGAUGGCGGCGGGGCGAGUUUCUGCGGCGUGAGGACGCCGAAAUGAGUGUCCUGUCUGUUUGAGCGUGCUCUCGAAGUUUCAAAAGUCUGCAUUCAGCGUUCUUAUACUACCUUUCAUUUGACAAAGGGAUUUCAAAAACCGGCCUCCAGUUAGAAAGUUUUUUUUCCGAGUUCUGCGGCUCCUGAUCCUCUGCGCUCCGUCGAUCUCCUUUCCGAAACACUCCAGCAACUCGGCGUGCUUUGGCAGGUUCUUCAUGACAAUGUGUGAUUUUCCUUGAAUUGUAUUUUGAUACCCGUGGCUUGAUCUGUAGUGUACCCUUUGUAUACCGAUUUAUGUUAUUGUUAACCUGCAUGUUUCCUGUUGACUGCUGCUAUUGUAUGUGCUGCGGCUCCUGGUUCUCUGUGCUCCGACGAUCUCCAGCAAUUUAUUCUCGACAAUGUGUGCUUUUUCUUACAUUUGAUUGUUACCAGUGGCUUGAUCUGUAAUGUCCCGAUUCAGUGCUGUAUUUUAUUCUUGACCUGCAUGUUUUCUGUU